rnacentral:lncRNA from 1 species
AACGCGCCUGUGUGUCGGGCUGAGCAAAAAUAAAGCGGAGGGAAACCACGGACGAGGAAAACACGGAUGAAGAUGCUGCGGAGGAAGCUUGAUGAAAACCCAGCAAAGAUGACGACAUGCUGGCGUGGACGUCUACAUAAGCCGCCACUUGGAUAUUGAUUGGGAGGCGACGAGCCGACGUGUAGCUGUCGUCCUCCUGAGUGAACAGGACGCCCCAUUAAAUCCACCAGAGCAUUUGACAGGGACGGUAUGAGGGCCUUGGUGUCAGCUGUGGAGGCUGGAGAUGACAUAAGAGAGAAAGUGGAGCGCGUCUGAAUACAAACUAGGAGCUCCAUCAUUGCAGAGAAUCCAUAUUAGAGAUGUACAAUGGAUGAAUGAGACGACCAGUGAGGGACGAUGAGCGGAGGAUGAGGAGCGGCCAUUUGUGUUUUCCCAGCGGCGCGUCCCAACGCCUCCGUCUCGCGAGGCCGGUCUGAUCCCGG